GGCGGCUUCCAGCCAGGCUAUGCCUGGUGGGCUGCCUUGGCCAGGAUAACUCAGUGGUGCUCAGCACAGCAUCCGAAUUCCCGAGCAGCUGCUAACUACCGCAACCUAAACAAGCUUAAGUGAUAUCACCUCUUAAUGAUUAUCAGCUCUUAGUGACUAUAAGCUCUUUAGCUUGCUGGUGCUGCAGCAGACGCAGUGAGAGGGAGGAGAAAGCCGUGUGAGGUUCCAAUGAAUACUUUAUUGGGGAUCUCCAUGAAGGUUCUCAGUGACAGCUCUUCUGUUAAACCAGGGACAAGUAGGGGUUUAUGUAUCUUACAGGGGUUUUUUGAAAUUUUGCAAUAGUAAGGGUCAAGGGACAGUGACCUAUGGGCUUACAGAGAGAUAAGCAGGGUCCAAAAGGCAGAAGAGGGUGCUGGGCUGCUAAGGCCCAGUCAUCAUCAUGACUUGGCAUUUCCUAGCUCAGGCUUCUGACCUCCAGGGAGGCCUUGCAGGCCUUGCAGGCCCUGGGCCUGCUACACUACUUAAUCCAAUACUGAAAUUAAGUAACAGGAGCCUGUAUGUCUGCACAAGAAGACUGAAGAGAAGUGAUCAAACUGGAGGAUGUCUUAGAAAAGAAAUAAGAAGACAGAAGUUUAAAAAAAUUCACACCAUUGCAAGUCAAUUGAAGCGGCUUCCUGUCUUUGGGUUUCAGCAUCUAAAAUGAUAAGCACAUAAAGAUCACAGUAAACAUUUCAAAGGCCAAUAUAGGAGUUAAAUUGCUGCCUACCACGCUCUCAACAGGAAGAACCACUCCAUGGGAGAAGUGUCUUCCUGAAGGACUGCAUCCCAUGGAAGGAACCUGUGCUAAGCAGUUUGUGAAGAAUUGAAACUUCAUUUGGGAAGGACCCAUGUUUCAGUUCACUAAGGACUAUAGGAGGGAGAAGGGGAAGAGUGGCAAAGAAAAAGAGUUGUGAAUCCUCCACUCCCUGACAUCCUGCGUCACUCAGGAGGAGAAAAUAGAGAUACUGGAAGUGAAGCUGAUCCCAGCAAGAAGAGAGGGUUGGAGGGAAGGUGUAUUUCAAAUCUGAUUUGAUUUGUAAACAAUUAAACUAAUCUACUCGA